rnacentral:rRNA from 1 species
GACGAACGCUGGCGGCGUGCUUAACACAUGCAAGUCGAACGCUGAAGCUUGGUGCUUGCACUGGGUGGAUGAGUGGCGAACGGGUGAGUAAUAAGUGAGUAACCUGCCCUUGACUCUGGGAUAAGCCUGGGAAACUGGGUCUAAUACUGGAUACGACAUGUCACCGCAUGGUGGUGUGUGGAAAGGGUUUUACUGGUUUUGGAUGGGCUCACGGCCUAUCAGCUUGUUGGUGGGGUAAUGGCUCACCAAGGCGACGACGGGUAGCCGGCCUGAGAGGGUGACCGGCCACACUGGGACUGAGACACGGCCCAGACUCCUACGGGAGGCAGCAGUGGGGAAUAUUGCACAAUGGGCGGAAGCCUGAUGCAGCGACGCCGCGUGGGGGAUGACGGCCUUCGGGUUGUAAACCUCUUUCAGCACGGAAGAAGCGAAAGUGACGGUACGUGCAGAAGAAGCGCCGGCUAACUACGUG